ACAACUAUAACUGUUUACAGAUUAAGCUGAAGGAGCAGAUGAAAUUUCAGCAGAGACUCCAGGAGAAGCAGAAGAAGGUGCAGGAGAUAAAACAGGCUGUGAACAUUAUAAAGCUCAGUGCACAGACAGCAGUAGAUGUCAGUGAGAAUAUCUUUACUGAGAUGAUCAGCUCCAUGGAGAAAAAGCGCUCGGAGGUGAAGGAGCUGAUCAGAGAUCAGAAGGAGGCUAAACUGAGUUGAGCUGAACGAUUCCAGGAGCAACAGGAGCAGGAGAUUUCUGAUCUUCAGAGGGGAAUCACUGAGCUGGAGCAGCUUUCACACACACACGAUCACAUCCAGUUCCUCCAGAGUUUUCAGCCUCUCAGUGUAUCUUCUGGAUUUGAGGACUCACCCAACAUCACUGUCAAUCAACAUCUCCCAUUUGAAAGAAUGAUGUUAUCAGUCUGUGAUCUGCAAAGAUCUGAGAGAUUUGAGGAACUCUGCCAGGAGGAUUUCCUCAUAAUUCAUUAACAUGGCGAGAGAAAUUGUCCUGCUGGGAAAUCUUUACUUUCUCUGCAGCAUGGUGACGAGAGACAUUUCAUAUGACUACAUGAACUUCCUUUUAUUACU